rnacentral:rRNA from 1 species
GGGCCCGCACAAGCGGUGGAGCAUGUGGUUUAAUUCGAUGCAACGCGAAGAACCUUACCUACUCUUGACAUCCAGAGAACUUUUCAGAGAUGAAUUGGUGCCUUCGGGAACUCUGAGACAGGUGCUGCAUGGCUGUCGUCAGCUCGUGUUGUGAAAUGUUGGGUUAAGUCCCGCAACGAGCGCAACCCUUAUCCUUGUUUGCCAGCACUUCGGGUGGGAACUCCAGGGAGACUGCCGGUGAUAAACCGGAGGAAGGUGGGGACGACGUCAAGUCAUCAUGGCCCUUACGAGUAGGGCUACACACGUGCUACAAUGGCGCAUACAGAGGGCAGCCAACUUGCGAAAGUGAGCGAAUCCCAAAAAGUGCGUCGUAGUCCGGAUUGGAGUCUGCAACUCGACUCCAUG